rnacentral:misc_RNA from 1 species
GUUUAGCCCCGAUUGCAGCUUUGUCUGAGCUCAUUUUCGUGAUCUAGGGUUGCGGCGGCAAAGCCGCCGCAACCCUAGAUCACGAAAAUAGCGAGUGCGGAAAGCGGGAAAUAGC